rnacentral:lncRNA from 1 species
UGUGGUAGACUGUAUUUUAUAGGUUUUACAGUAAUUGUGUAUAUUUUUAUAUUUAGUUUAUUGUGUUGUAUUCUGUAUAUUAUAUGAUUUAUAUUGAUUAAUUGAAGCUAUAGUAUACUAAUUACAGAUUGUAAUUAGUUGAUUAGUCUAUAUAUAUGCUUUGUUCAUUACAUUUACGUAUUUGACAGUUGGACUUAUUGACAUACGACAUUUUCUACUGGUUUGGGUAACUUUGGUUUCACUGUAGUUUACUUCAAAGGUUUUCUUUUUAUGCUUCAGUGGACCGCACACUUUCUUUAUUUCUAUUGGUCAUUAUAUUUUGGCGCUAUAUUUCUUUUGUUCUUUUAUGCUGGUCAUCACUUUUCUAUAUACUGGUGGACAUAUUGAUAUAUGCUUGAUAUAAUUCUAAGUUUGGACUUAUAUUCUUUCUUAGUUUUCUUUAUUCUGUAUUCAGGUCAGUUAUAUUUCUCUAUUACUAAUUAUACGUUAAUAGUCCAGAUAUUUAUUAUUUUACCUAGAAUGACUGUUUAG